rnacentral:rRNA from 1 species
GACGGAGGGUGCAAGCGUUACUCGGAAUUACUGGGCGUAAAGGGUACGUAGGUGGCCCGUUAAGUUGGAUGUGAAAUCCCACGGCUCAACCGUGGAACUGCGUCCAAAACUGGCGGGCUUGAGAAUGGUAGGGGACAGUGGAACUCAAGGUGGAGCGGUGAAAUGCGUAGAGAUCUUGAGGAACACCGGUGGCGAAAGCGACUGUCUGGGCCAUUUCUGACACUGAGGUACGAAAGCCAGGGUAGCGAACGGG